rnacentral:rRNA from 1 species
UACGGAGGGUGCGAGCGUUGUCCGGAUUUAUUGGGUUUAAAGGGUGCGUAGGCGGCUUUUUAAGUCUGGGGUGAAAGCCCGCUGCUCAACAGCGGAACUGCCCUGGAUACUGGAGAGCUUGAGUACAGACGAGGUUGGCGGAAUGGACAGAGUAGCGGUGAAAUGCAUAGAUACUGUCCAGAACCCCGAUUGCGAAGGCAGCUGACUAGGCUGUUACUGACGCUGAGGCACGAAAGCGUGGGGAGCGAACAGG